rnacentral:rRNA from 1 species
GACGAACGCUGGCGGCGUGCCUAACACAUGCAAGUCGAACGGAACUGUUUUGAAAGCUUUCUUCGGAAUGAAUUUGAUUUAGUUUAGUGGCGGACGGGUGAGUAACGCGUGAGUAACCUGCCUUCAAGAGGGGAAUAACAUUCUGAAAAGAAUGCUAAUACCGCAUGACAUAUCGGAACCACAUGGUUUUGAUAUCAAAGAUUUUAUCGCUUGAAGAUGGACUCGCGUCCGAUUAGUUAGUUGGUGAGGUAACGGCUCACCAAGACCGCGAUCGGUAGCCGGACUGAGAGGUUGAACGGCCACAUUGGGACUGAGACACGGCCCAGACUCCUACGGGAGGCAGCAGUGGGGGAUAUUGCGCAAUGGGGGCAACCCUGACGCAGCAACGCCGCGUGAAGGAUGAAGGUUUUCGGAGUGUAAACUUCUUUUAUUAAGGACGAAAAAUGACGGUACUUAAUGAAUAAGCUCCGGCUAACUACGUG